rnacentral:ncRNA from 1 species
UAGUUGGUGCAAGUCCAACCAAGAGAGGGGCCAAGCCACUCUUGUAGCUAGGAUGCUUGCGCAUGGCGAAAUCUAUGUGUAAAAGCGCAUCGACAAAAGUACCGGUCAGAGACCGGGCGAGCAACAACCCAGGCCGCAACAUCA